rnacentral:lncRNA from 1 species
CAAGCACCUUCGCACAAACAAGACAGAACCAAGUUCGUGAAGUGUGUUAUCAGUGUAACUGAUACUUUCAUUUUCUGAGGUUAUGUUUAAAUAAAGAAACACAUUUUGCUGCAUCCAGGCCCCUUGUAAACUACAAUAGUGACCAGCUUUAGAAAGAGGAAGUAAAACUGACAUGCCUAGAAUUAGCCAUAAUCUGGUUGACUUGCAGGGAUCCUCUUAUGUACAACUGCCAAUCCUGGAGCCAGAGGUGUGUUGAUUAGCCUUCCCUUUCCUCUGUACACUUCCACCAACUCCCUUCUCUGGACAUAAAUAUGUGACUAUCUUUUAGUACUAAAACACCAAGGUGGUACUGUAAUGCUCAUAUUAGCUUGCUUACCUUGAAUCUGCAAACAGUAUAAAUUUGGGGUAUGAUCUUCAGGGUCAUGGUUAGACUUUUCAUAUGUGAUAUUACUACCUUGAUAUCUGCCAUUUUUUUUUAGUUAAGGCAGAAAAAUGGACAGUAAGAAACAUGCGAUAGGGCUCUGGUUUCUUUCUGUGGUGAUGAGGGACAGUGCAAAGGGGCAGAAAGUUUUUGCUUAGAUGUGGAAGGAGAAUGCUGGAAUUUUUUUA